UUAAGCGACUAAGCGUACACGGUGGAUGCCCUGGCAGUCAGAGGCGAUGAAGGACGUGCUAAUCUGCGAAAAGCGCCGGCGAGGUGAUAUGAACCUUUGACCCGGCGAUGUCCGAAUGGGGAAACCCAGUGCAAUCCGUUGCACUAUCGUUAACUGAAUACAUAGGUUAACGAGGCGAACCGGGGGAACUGAAACAUCUAAGUACCCCGAGGAAAAGAAAUCAACCGAGAUUCCCCCAGUAGCGGCGAGCGAACGGGGAGCAGCCCGGAGUCUGAAUCAGCUUGUGUGUUAGUGGAACGGUCUGGAAAGUCCGACGGUACAGGGUGAUAGUCCCGUACACGAAAGCACACUUGCUGUGAACUCGAAGAGUAGGGCGGGACACGUGGUAUCCUGUCUGAAUAUGGGGGGACCAUCCUCCAAGGCUAAAUACUCCUGACUGACCGAUAGUGAACCAGUACCGUGAGGGAAAGGCGAAAAGAACCCCGGCGAGGGGAGUGAAAAAGAACCUGAAACCGUGUACGUACAAGCAGUGGGAGCCUCUUUAUGGGGUGACUGCGUACCUUUUGUAUAAUGGGUCAGCGACUUAUAUUCUGUAGCAAGGUUAACCGUAUAGGGGAGCCGAAGGGAAACCGAGUCUUAACUGGGCGUUAAGUUGCAGGGUAUAGACCCGAAACCCGGUGAUCUAGCCAUGGGCAGGUUGAAGGUUGGGUAACACUAACUGGAGGACCGAACCGACUAAUGUUGAAAAAUUAGCGGAUGACCUGUGGCUGGGGGUGAAAGGCCAAUCAAACCGGGAGAUAGCUGGUUCUCCCCGAAAGCUAUUUAGGUAGCGCCUCGUGAACUCAUCUUCGGGGGUAGAGCACUGUUUCGGCUAGGGGGCCAUCCCGGCUUACCAACCCGAUGCAAACUACGAAUACCGAAGAAUGUUAUCACGGGAGACACACGGCGGGUGCUAACGUCCGUCGUGAAGAGGGAAACAACCCAGACCGCCAGCUAAGGUCCCAAAGUCAUGGUUAAGUGGGAAACGAUGUGGGAAGGCACAGACAGCCAGGAUGUUGGCUUAGAAGCAGCCAUCAUUUAAAGAAAGCGUAAUAGCUCACUGGUCGAGUCGGCCUGCGCGGAAGAUGUAACGGGGCUAAACCAUGCACCGAAGCUGCGGCAGCGACGCUUAUGCGUUGUUGGGUAGGGGAGCGUUCUGUAAGCCGUUGAAGGUGUCCUGUGAGGGGUGCUGGAGGUAUCAGAAGUGCGAAUGCUGACAUAAGUAACGAUAAAGCGGGUGAAAAGCCCGCUCGCCGGAAGACCAAGGGUUCCUGUCCAACGUUAAUCGGGGCAGGGUGAGUCGACCCCUAAGGCGAGGCCGAAAGGCGUAGUCGAUGGGAAACAGGUUAAUAUUCCUGUACUUGGUGUUACUGCGAAGGGGGGACGGAGAAGGCUAUGUCAGCCGGGCGACGGUUGUCCCGGUUUAAGCAUGUAGGCGGAGGUUCCAGGUAAAUCCGGUACCUUAUUAACGCUGAGGUGUGAUGACGAGGCACUACGGUGCUGAAGUGAUAAAUGCCCUGCUUCCAGGAAAAGCCUCUAAGCAUCAGGUAACACGAAAUCGUACCCCAAACCGACACAGGUGGUCAGGUAGAGAAUACCAAGGCGCUUGAGAGAACUCGGGUGAAGGAACUAGGCAAAAUGGUGCCGUAACUUCGGGAGAAGGCACGCUGAUAUGUAGGUGAAGUCCCUGCGGACGGAGCUGAAAUCAGUCGAAGAUACCAGCUGGCUGCAACUGUUUAUUAAAAACACAGCACUGUGCAAACACGAAAGUGGACGUAUACGGUGUGACGCCUGCCCGGUGCCGGAAGGUUAAUUGAUGGGGUUAGCGGCAACGCGAAGCUCUUGAUCGAAGCCCCGGUAAACGGCGGCCGUAACUAUAACGGUCCUAAGGUAGCGAAAUUCCUUGUCGGGUAAGUUCCGACCUGCACGAAUGGCGUAAUGAUGGCCAGGCUGUCUCCACCCGAGACUCAGUGAAAUUGAACUCGCUGUGAAGAUGCAGUGUACCCGCGGCAAGACGGAAAGACCCCGUGAACCUUUACUAUAGCUUGACACUGAACACUGGUCCUUGAUGUGUAGGAUAGGUGGGAGGCUUUGAAGCGUGGACGCCAGUCUGCGUGGAGCCAACCUUGAAAUACCACCCUUUAAUGGCUGGUGUUCUAACGUAGACCCGUAAUCCGGGUUGCGGACAGUGUCUGGUGGGUAGUUUGACUGGGGCGGUCUCCUCCCAAAGAGUAACGGAGGAGCACGAAGGUUGGCUAAUCCUGGUCGGACAUCAGGAGGUUAGUGCAAUGGCAUAAGCCAGCUUGACUGCGAGCGUGACGGCGCGAGCAGGUGCGAAAGCAGGUCAUAGUGAUCCGGUGGUUCUGAAUGGAAGGGCCAUCGCUCAACGGAUAAAAGGUACUCCGGGGAUAACAGGCUGAUACCGCCCAAGAGUUCAUAUCGACGGCGGUGUUUGGCACCUCGAUGUCGGCUCAUCACAUCCUGGGGCUGAAGUAGGUCCCAAGGGUAUGGCUGUUCGCCAUUUAAAGUGGUACGCGAGCUGGGUUUAGAACGUCGUGAGACAGUUCGGUCCCUAUCUGCCGUGGGCGCUGGAGAAUUGAGGGGGGCUGCUCCUAGUACGAGAGGACCGGAGUGGACGCAUCACUGGUGUUCGGGUUGUCAUGCCAAUGGCACUGCCCGGUAGCUAAAUGCGGAAAAGAUAAGUGCUGAAAGCAUCUAAGCACGAAACUUGCCCCGAGAUGAGUUCUCCCUGAGACUUUAAGUCUCCUGAAGGAACGUUGAAGACGACGACGUUGAUAGGUCGGGUGUGUAAGCGCAGCGAUGCGUUGAGCUAACCGAUACUAAUGAACCGUGAGGCUUAACCU
rnacentral:rRNA from 1 species